rnacentral:lncRNA from 1 species
UAAACUGUAAACAGCAAUAAUGUUCAGCAAAGUAAGAUUUACAAAUAAGUCAGCAUGACCGAAAUGGUCAAUUGACCCCUAAGGAGUUAUUGUCCUUUAUAGUCAAUUUUUAACAAUUUUCAUAAAAUUUGUAAAUUUUUAUUAACAUUUUCCACUGAAACUACUGGUCCAAGUUCAUUAUAGAUAGAGAUAAUUGUAAGCAGCAAGACUGUUCAGUAAAGUAAGAUGUACAAACACAUCACCAUCACCAAAACACAAUUUUGUCAUGAAUCCAUCUGCUUCCUUUGUUUAAUAUUCACAAAGACCAAGGUGAGCGACACAGGCUCUUUAGAGCCUCUAGUUUAUACAUAUCCUGUAAACUAUAUCUUCACUGGUAUUUCUUUAUUUUUUAUAUACAUCUUUUAUCAAGGACUUACAUAUCAAGAAGUUACAAAGCCCCAAAAGUUGGUUUCAAAAAACUUGUGACUAAGAUUGUUUUUACGUCAUGAAGGAUUCAGCUUAAUUACUUUGUCUUAGUCCCUAGAUUUUUUGUGAAACUGACUUUAGAAAUUUGAUAUGAAUUAUGGUUUAUGCAAUAUAUUGUAUGACUUAAAAAAUGUAUAGCUUAUUUGUUGCUGCUUUGAUCUGACACUAGCAUUAUUGUUGAAAUAUAACAUUUUGGUUGUUCUAGUGAUAAAUAUUGGAAAUGUGAAGCUCCUUCACUGUAGUUACAGUGCCUGGUGGAAAUAAUUAUGCCUGAUUGGUUCCUGGUCCUUGAUGGACCUUUUUCAGAGGCAGAAUGAUGAGGUGUUUUUUAGGCUGAUUUAUAGUGUUUUAAAUUACAUGUAUUAUCCAUUUCAGAAAAAAAAGCAAAUAGUGAUAGAAUUAUCUGUUCUCCUAUUUUCAUAAUUGAUUGACUGAUGAUUACUUUAUGCCACAUCAGCACCCUCCUAUUGUAAGUGCUAUAUGCCACAUCAGCACCCUCCUAUUGUAAGUGCUAUAUGCCACAUCAGCACCCCCCCUAUUGUAAGUGCUAUAUGCCACAUCAGCACCCUCCUAUUGUAAAGUGCUAUAGCCCAUCAGCACCCUCCUAUUGUAAGUGCUAUAUGCCACAUCAGCACCCUCCUAUUGUAAGUGCUAUAUGCCACAUCAGCACCCUCCUAUUGUAAGUGCUAUAUGCCACAUCAGCACCCUCCUAUUGUAAGUGCUAUAUGCCACAUCAGCACCAUCCUAUUGUAAGUGCUAUAUGUUUUCUGUAUUCUGUUUCUGAUAUAAAUAAGUGGGUUGAAAUAUUUUUUUUUAAAACUUCUGAAAAUAAUUCAUUGGUUCAAUUAAGGAGGGAAUGAAUACACCUUGUCGCUAUUUCUGGAUAUCACACAGGUUUCCGUAAAAUUUUGACGUCAUAAAACGAAUCAUCUGACGCCACAAUGGAAAAGUGAUUGUUGUAUGCAUCAAAAGUUCAAGCGGCCGGGUCAGCCGGGAUUAGCGAUAAGGUGUAUGCUUUUUAUACGACCGCAAAAUUUGAAAAAUUUUUCGUCGUAUAUUGCUAUCACGUUGGCGUCGUCGUCGUCGUCGUCCGAAUACUUUUAGUUUUCGCACUGUAACUUUAGUAAAAGUGAAUAGAAAUCUAUGAAAUUUUAACACAAGGUUUAUGACCACAAAAGGAAGGUUGGGAUUGAUUUUGGGAGUUUUGGUCCCAACAUUUUAGGAAUUAGGGGCCAAAAAGGGCCCAAAUAAGCAUUUCUUGGUUUUCGCACUAUAACUUUAGUUGAAGUUAAUAGAAAUCUAUGAAAUUUUGACACAAGGUUUAUGACCACAAAAGAAAGGUUGGGAUUGAUUUUGGGAGUUUUGGUUCCAACAGUUUAGGAAUUAGGGGCCAAAAAAGGGCCCAAAUAAGCAUUAUUCUUGGUUUUUGCACAAUAACUUUAGUUUAAGUAAAUAGAAAUCAAUGAAAUUUAAACACAAUGUUUAUGACCACA